CAGUGGUGUGGUAGGGCAGCUCAUGCACAUCCUACACUAUGGAUAAUACUGGCGUUCACAUCCCAUCUGUAAUGUUUGUUGAUUUUUCGUUUCGAUCUGUAUUUAUUAUGUUAAAUAAAGAACAUGUCUCUUGAAACUGCAACUCUAAUCCUGCCAUGGCCCAAAGAGCCAGGUCGUGACAAAUGGGGGGGCUUGUCGAGUUGUGGUCAGUGAUUUUGUGCGACACGUCUUUGUUUACGUAUUGAUCAGCUGUUGAGCGGUUGGUGCGCGUUUGGUUUGGUGGUGAUCGCCGGUUUGUCUCCGUGUUGCAGGAAGUUUGGGAGUCGUACUGGAUUUUGAAGCUUUUGGAUUAGUUUUUGUUUUCUCUUUUUGCGAAAUGUCGAUUUGUACGUGGUCCAAAGAGAAUGCAAGUGUUGCCGCCCUGAUGCGCUGUGUUUGGAGUUUCCCUGUCAGGUUAUUUAUAGUGGCGCCUUCCCUCUUGGGUCAAGUCUUUUUUCUUCUUUUGUUUGUAGUGUUGUGGUCAGUGUCCGCUGUCUAUGGACGGUUGUCUCGGAGCACGUCCGUGGGACCAGGCAGUUCGGGGGUAAUUGACACCAGGUGGCUGUAAUGAGGUGGGCUAGUAUAAAAGUGGCACGCCUCCACCAGCUCUUCCUCUUGCGCCGGUGUUGUGUCCGGGCGACUAUAUGCGUGCUGCUCUGUGUGCCCAGUGGCGUAUUUACUUGGUUAGUGUCCCUCUCUUUGCGUUGUUGAUACGGCAUAGUUGUUGCGUCUGAUGGCUAACACUGGUCACAAGUAAAUGCCAGCGACAGCCAGUGUCCUCUCCCUCCUCCUGUUUGCUGUGAUCAGCGGCUUGGGGUCGCUGCGGUUUUCUCUCCGGGGAAGCUUCGUCCUCGCGGCGGCGUCCCUACUGGCUUUGUCUCCCCUUGGACACGUUGUCUCGCUGCGCUGUGUAGGGCUGCGUGCGGUCUGGUGCUUUGGCGUCCCCGGUUCAUACCGUGCGCCAGAUCAGCUCCUUUUAAACAUUUGUCACGCCUGUGUUUCAACCAGGGCUCUGUCCCUGUGCAUUGUUGAAUGGAUGUUUAUCUUGCUGUAAUUUUGUAUAUUCCUUUUAUUUUAACUCCUAAUUUGUUUUUGUCUUUCUUUAGUUGGAGACUGGUGGUGCUGGUGUCCUACCCCUUUGUUUGCUGUGUCCUGGGAAGCGGGAUCCUCACUAGGUCGGGUGGUUUUGAGUUUGUGCUUAAUUUGGUGCUUAACACCACACCUAGACUUCUCCAUCCACUCGGC
ensembl:lncRNA